rnacentral:rRNA from 1 species
AUUGAACGCUGGCGGCAUGCCUUACACAUGCAAGUCGAACGGCAGCACGGGUGCUUGCACCUGGUGGCGAGUGGCGAACGGGUGAGUAAUACAUCGGAACAUGUCCUGUAGUGGGGGAUAGCCCGGCGAAAGCCGGAUUACUACCGCAUACGAUCUACGGAUGAAAGCGGGGGCCCUUCGGGCCUCGCGUUAUUGGGUUGGCCGAUGGCUGAUUAGCUAGCUGGUGGGGUAAAGGCCUAGCAAGGCGACGACCAGUAGCUGGUCUGAGCGGGCGACCAGCCACACUGGGACUGAGACACGGCCCAGACUCCUACGGGAGGCAGCAGUGGGGAAUUUUGGACAAUGGGCGAAAGCCUGAUCCAGCAAUGCCGCGUGUGUGAAGAAGGCCUUCGGGUUGUAAAGCACUUUUGUCCGGAAAGAAAUCCUUGGCCCUAAUACGGUCGGGGGAUGACGGUACCGGAAGAAUAAGCACCGGCUAACUACGUG